GGCUUUUUAGCUCAGUUGGUAGAGCGCUCGGCUGUUAACCGAUCGGUCGUAGGUUCGAGUCCUACAAAAGCCG
rnacentral:tRNA from 1 species